UGUGUCCAGCCUACCAAGAGGGCAGAUAACUAAUACGAUAAUAAAUACUGUGUGGUACCUUUCUGGAGUGGAUUCCAGAGACAGAAACAGAAUUCCUUUGCCUGCAUAUGUCAUUGUAGCAGAACUGUAUUCCUGUCUAGGAAUUAGACAUUGUUUGAUUUUAAGCAGAUGACUCCUGAGCUGAAUGGCAGUUUGAUCAUGACAACACUCCUCCCAGAACUUUACAAGUAUUCCCAGAACAUUAGUACACUGACUUAGUACACUGACUUUUAAUCAUGACCACCAGUUCUCUUAACUACAGUACAAGUUGUUACCCCAGAUAAUGUGAUUUAACCAAAGAUUUUUGGUAUCCAUUAUUGGGAGUUACAGAAUAGAUCAUGUUUGGUGUAGCGCAGAGAAUUUGACCAACCUUAGCGAGGCGAAGAAAGAGGAGUCUCAAAAUGUCUGUGUCCAGUUGCAAGGGUCAGUUUUUAAAUUUAGAAUAUGCUCCGUUAUUAAAAUAAAAACAGUUUUUGCAUCAUGAAGUAAUUCAACAAUAUGUGUACCGCCAUGUUGUCUAUUUCAAGUCUUCUCUCACGGAUCGAGACAGUUCUCUAUCAUCAUGACAUGCAGCACUUUGGGGUGGAAACCCACCUGUCUUGAUCAAUGAGAGAAGACUUGAAAUAGACCAGAUGUCAGCUAAAAUCUUUGGGUAAAUCACAUCUGAUGUAACAAUCUGUAGCAACAGUACUCUCCACUUGGGUGUACACCUCAGACACACUGAACUUUACUACACUGUUCAUGCUAUAUUUUUCUGUAUGUUACUUUUAUAACAUUUUUGUUGAACACCCAGUUGUCUUGAACUAGCAUUAAAUAGUGUAAACACCCCUGUAUUUUAGAUAUCCAAAUAAUGUUAAUUUGUCAAUCUGAAUGUCUAGCAUCUGUUUGAUGUUACAGAGCCCUGUACAGCAUAUAAAUAUAUUCUGUGAAUCCCUCAAGGCAGACACAUUUAAGAUUGAUAUACAGUGCAUUCAGAAAGUAUUCAUACCCCUUGACUUUUGCGUUACAGCCUUAUUCUAAAAUGGAGUAAAUCCCCCCCCCCUCCCCCCCAAUCG
ensembl:lncRNA